rnacentral:rRNA from 1 species
CAGUUAAAAAGCUCGUAGUUGGACUUCUAAGAAGCGCAUCUGGGCAACCAGUUUUGCCUUCUACCAGCCCUAGGCUGUUACUGUGAGAAAAUUAGAGUGUUUCAAGCAGGCUUUUGCAGGAAUACAUUAGCAUGGAAUAACGAAUGUGUCUACAAUUUGGUUGAUUGUAGGUUACAAUUAAUAGGGACAGUUGGGGGCAUUAGUAUUUAAUAGUCAGAGGUGAAAUUCUUGGAUUUGUUAAAGACUAACGUAUGCGAAAGCAUUUGCCAAGGAUGUUUUCAUUAAUCAAGAACGAAAGAUAGGGGAUCAAAGACGAUCAGAUACCGUCGUAGUCCUAUCUAUAAACUAUGCCGACUAGGGAUUAGUGCGGUCAGUACCGCAUUAGUACCUUAUGAGAAAUCAAAGUCUUUGGGUUCUGGGG